AGUGAACGCUGGCGGUAGGCUUUACACAUGCAAGUCGAACGGUGGCCCUUUACUUGCUUGCUCUUACGGUUGGCGAGUGGUGGACGGUAUAUGAAUACAUCGGUAUUUAUUUUUUCGUAGUGGUUAACAUAUUGACUCUUACCCUAUUACCGCUUACGACCUACGUGUGAAAUCUUGGGAUCUUCCGUUCUUGCGCGAUUGGAUGACCCGAUGUCGGAUUAGCUAGUUGGUGGGGUACCGGGCCACCAAGGCGACGAUCAGUAGCUGGUCUGAGAGGAUGAUCAGCCACACUGGAACUGAGACACGGUCCAGACUCCUACGGGAGGCAGCAGUGGGGAAUAUUGGACAAUGGGCGCAAGCCUGAUCCAGCCAUACCGCGUGAGUGAAGAAGGCCUUCGGGUUGUAAAGCCCUUUUGUAAGGAAAGAAAAGCAGCAGGUUAAUAACCCGCUGGGCUGACGGUACCUAAAGAAGAAGCACCGGCUAACUACGUG
rnacentral:rRNA from 1 species